GCCGCACUGUGGUGUGUGCUGGGGCUGUGCCAGGGGCUGUGCCGCUGCUGUGCCAUGCACAGGCAUCCCUGGUGCGGGGGGGUCCUGCGGUGCUGGUGUCACACUGCACCUGGGUGUCCCCAGUGCAGGGGACGGUGCCAUGUGAGGUGACAGGGACACCUGUGUGUUCCCAGUGCAGGGACCAUGCUGUGCUGGGUGACAUAGGUGCCCAGGUGUCCCCAGGGGACAGUGCCAGUGCUGCGCCUGGGACUCCCUGGUGCAGGGGACAGUGCCAUGCAAGGUGACAGGGGGGACAGUGCUGUGCCUGGGUGUCCCCAGCGCAGGGGACAGCGCCGUGCUUGGAUGUUCUCUGUGCGGGGACCAUGCUGUGUAGGCUGACAGGUGACCCCCAGUGUCCCCAGCGCAGGGAACAGUGCCAUGCAGGGUGACAGGGGUGCCAGUGCUGUGCCUGGGUGUUCCCAGCGCAGGGGACAGUGCCGUGC